AACGCUGGCGGCGUGCCUAACACAUGCAAGUCGAACGAGAAAGUGGAGCACUCCAUGAGUACAGUGGCGCACGGGUGAGUAACACGUGACUAACCUACCCUUGAGUGGGGGAUAACUUCGGGAAACCGAGGCUAAUACCGCAUAAUACCUACGGGUCAAAGGAGCAAUUCGCUUAAGGAGGGGGUCGCGGCCGAUUAGUUAGUUGGCGGGGUAAUGGCCCACCAAGACGAUGAUCAGUAUCCGGCCUGAGAGGGCGCACGGACACACUGGAACUGAAACACGGUCCAGACUCCUACGGGAGGCAGCAGUGGGGAAUUUUGCGCAAUGGGGGAAACCCUGACGCAGCAACGCCGCGUGGAGGAUGAAGUCCUUCGGGACGUAAACCCCUUUCGAUCGGGACGAUUAUGACGGUUCCG
rnacentral:rRNA from 1 species